GACGAACGCUGGCGGCGUGCUUAACACAUGCCAGUCGAACGGAAAGGCCCUGCUUUUGUGGGGUGCUCGAGUGGCGAACGGGUGAGUAACACGUGAGUAACCUGUCCUUGACUUUGGGAUAACUUCAGGAAACUGGGGCUAAUACCGGAUAGGAGCUCCUGCUGCAUGGUGGGGGUUGGAAAGUUUCGGCGGUUGGGGAUGGACUCGCGGCUUAUCAGAUUGUUGGUUGGGUAGUGGAUUACCAAGGCUUUGACGGGUAGCCGGGCUGGGCGGGUGAACGGCCAAGCUGGGACUGAGAUACGACCCAGCCUCCACCGGGACGGAAGAGUGGGGAAUAUUGCAUAAUGGGAGGAAGGCUAAUGCAGCAAAGCCGCGUGGGGGAUGACGGCCUUCGGGUUGUAAUCCACUUUCGCCUGUGACGAAGCGUGAGUGACGGUAAUGGGUAAAGAAGCACCGGCUAACUACGUG
rnacentral:rRNA from 1 species